CACCCACCAGCUUCAGUCAAAGGGAUGACUUCAGUCCCUUUCUUAACUAAUCCUGUCACUGUAAAAUCCUACAGUCAUUCUUCCACACAUAAAGGGAAAACGGACUCACUAGGAGGACUUAGACUCUUUCAGCUUGAACUGUUAGCCAAUGGUGGAAAUGCAAGAAUGCUGAAGUUGUGCCUUCGGAGCCAAUAGAGUGGAUUUGUGUGUCCCACAUGACUGUGUUUCCCCUGUCUUUCACAUGGGCAGUAUUUAGUUCAAUUCAGAACUGCAGAUAGUAUAGCGUGCAGAGCAGCAAUGGGAUGUCUGAGCACAAGUGGCUGACUUCCAGGCGACUUCAGGAAGCGCAUUUGUAAUAUUUCUCCUGAAUUAAACUGGGAUUCUGCACUCUUGACAUCCUCCGACCCUCCUUGUCUCUGCAGAAGGAGACAGCGACCUGCACAGCACAGCAAAACUACAAAUCACUGCAGAGCUGCAGACCAGCAAAGGAAGUGAACUGAGGGCAAUUUGACCAACAUCGUCUGUGUCAGCUCCCCAGAGGUUGAUGAAACAUGUUAUCAGGUCUCCAAGGAGGAGGGGAAGAAAUAAACCACUGCAAAAACAAAAACUGCUUUCCUCAUGGAAGAAUGGUAACUUUGGACAAUAUUUGGCACCACAAGUUCAAAGGGCUAUUUCAUCUGCAUUAUGAGCAGCCAGGUGCCAGCUGGUGUAAAGGCAGAUGCCACUGACGUCAAUGGAGCAGUGCCAGUUUGCACUAGCUGAGAAUCUGAUCCCAAGUGUGUUAGAACCAUUUUUAGAUGCUGACACUGGAAUUGAUUUUUGCAACACAAUUAAAAAUACACCCAUGCACUG